UUGUUAGUCAUGUGGGAGCUGGUGGGGUAAUGAUAAUGUGACUGGACUAGAAAUCCAGCAGUUAAAGCCUCUGGGAUUGUGGGUUCAAUUUCCACCACAGCGACAGUAGAUUUCAUUAAUAAAUUUGGAAUUGAAAGCUGAUAUAAGUAAUGGAGAUAGUUAAAACCUUUUUCUUUAGUUCAUUCAUAGGAAGAGGGCGUCACUGGCUAGGUCAGCGUUUAUUGCCCAGUGAGUAGUUAACAGUCAACCACAUUGCUGUGGAUCUGGAGUCACCUGGGCCAGACCAGGUAAAGAUAGCAGUUUCCUUUCCUAAAGGACAUUAGUGAGCCAGAGUAAUUGAAUGGCUGAAGAGGCUGAAUGGCUAAUUGCUGUUCUCCAAGGUCUCAGUUCAUAUGCUCUUCAGGAUCUGCCUACGUGUUAUAAUGAAUGUCCUUCACAGCUUACAAUAUUAAGCCGGUGUCUACUUUACCAAGGGACCAGCACUGUCAUUUUGGAUGUGCAGUUAUUUGCUAAGAGUCCCUGCCUCUUGAGAAAGAGUUAGUGACAAAAUAAGCAACCUUAGUAGCUAAAUUGACACUCCAGUGUAUUGUACCAUAGAUGAUUACUGUCAUAUAAUAGUUAUACUGUCAUAUAACUCAGGAUGCUGGAGAAAGUCAUUAAGUCUGGCAGCAUAUUGCAAGAGAUUGUUUUGAACUCAAUAAUUCUUCAUAACUGCUGUUUGAGUAGUUGCAAAGCAGUUAACUAUUGUUUCAGUUAAUGAUUAAGUAAGUUCUCAGUAACCCUGAGUUCUGUAACAUGUCAAAUUUUACUAGUUUGUACUUGGUCAUGGAGAUUGGCUGCAGUCCAUGUGUGUUAUGUCAAACCUUUGAUCGGUAAGAGAAAUGGAGAUGUCUGAGGACUAAGCCACUCGUAUCAUAGCCACUCAUAUCAUAGAAGCUCUACUGUGCACAUAGAGGCCAUUUGGCCCAUCAACUCUGCACUAACUCUGGGAAGAGCAGCCAAUGCAGACACACCUCCCCACCCUAUUGCUGAAACCCUGCAUUUCCCAUGACUAAUCCACCUACCCUACAAAUCCCUGGAAAGUCUAGGCAAUUUAGCAUAGCCAAUCUGGCUAACCUGCACAUCUUUGGACUGAGAGGAAACUGGAGCUCCCAGCAGAAACUCACGGAAACACUGAGACUCCCACAGUCAGUCACCCAGGUCCCUGGCACUGUAACUCAGCAGUGCCAAUCAUCGUGCUGGCUAUGUCCCCAGGUAAACCAGUUUGAUUAAAGUAACUUCUGUUUGGAAUUAAAGUGAGCAUUGUGAAUAAUUGUAUAAAAUCUAGAGUCGAACCAUUCAUUAAACUCACUUCCAGCUCAGAUAGGAGUCCAUCUCCUUCAACAGUUGCAGAUGGCUAUGUCACUCAUGGAUCUUGUAUGUUUGGGAGCACGCAGUUUCUUUGGUGAUCACCUUGAAUCAAAGGAUGGUAUUAGACUCCCCAACCAGAGAAACAUCUUGCUGCAUCUAUGCUGUCCCUUGAAAGUUUUUUGUAAAUUUCAAUGAGAUCACCUCUCACUCUUCCAAACUCCAGAGAAUUCAUAGUCCAGUUUGUCCAAUCUCUCUUCAAAGGGCAGUUCUGCUGUUCUGGGAACAAGACUCUGAACAUUUGUUACAAUCUGUCUUUUGGCAAUAAUAUCUUACCUGAAAUAAGGAGACCAAAACACUCAGACUAUUCCAGGUGCAGUCUAAAUGUACAAUUGAAGUUUCUUGUUUCUUUUUGUAUGAGUGGUGUUUACGUGUAUAAGUUUUCUCAGAAGAAGGUCUGCAUUGUUGAAGAGGUGUCUUUUGGAUGAAACAACAAGGACCUUACUGCUGAUCCUAUGAAUCUUCACCUUGCCAAAGUUCUUCGUCACCCAGCGCCCUUAACCGAUCAAUGAUUUUCCUCUCAUCAUCAUGUAGAAUACUGUAGUAUGGAUUUCUGAAACCUCUGAAACUUUGGUUGUAAACAUUUAUGUAAUGCUAUGUUCAUCAAAACAGUGUGUGCAAAACACCAUUGCCAAUAAAUAUUGUUUAACGUA